CCUACGGGUGGCAGCAGUAGGGAAUCUUCCACAAUGGACGAAAGUCUGAUGGAGCAACGCCGCGUGAGUGAAGAAGGGUUUCGGCUCGUAAAGCCCUGUUGGUAGUGAAGAAAGAUAGAGGUAGUAACUGGCCUUUAUUUGACGGUAAUUACUUAGAAAGUCACGGCUAACUACGUGCCAGCAGCCGCGGUAAUACGUAGGUGGCAAGCGUUGUCCGGAUUUAUUGGGCGUAAAGCGAGUGCAGGCGGUUCAAUAAGUCUGAUGUGAAAGCCUUCGGCUCAACCGGAGAAGUGCAUCAGAAACUGUUGAACGUGAGUGCAGGAGAGGAGAGUGGAACUCCAGGUGUAGCGGUGGAAUGCGUAGAUAUAUGGAAGAACACCAGUGGCGAAGGCGGCUCUCUGGUCUGCAACUGACGCUGAGGCUCGAAAGCAUGGGUAGCGAAAAGGAUUAGAUACCCCGGUAGUC
rnacentral:rRNA from 1 species